rnacentral:rRNA from 1 species
UGGGGAAUAUUGCACAAUGGGGGAAACCCUGAUGCAGCGACGCCGCGUGAACGAAGAAGGUAUUCGUAUCGUAAAGUUCUGUCCUAUGGGAAGAUAAUGACAGUACCAUAGAAGAAAGCUCCGGCUAAAUACGUGCCAGCAGCCGCGGUAAUACGUAUGGAGCGAGCGUUGUCCGGAAUUAUUGGGCGUAAAGGUUACGCAGGCGGUUUAAUAAGUCGAAUGUUAAAGAUCGGGGCUCAACCCCGCAAAGCAUUGGAAACUGAUAAACUUGAGUAGUGGAGAGGAAAGUGGAAUUCCUAGUGUAGUGGUGAAAUACGUAGAUAUUAGGAGGAAUACCAGUAGCGAAGGCGACGUUCUGGACACAAACUGACGCUGAGGUACGAAAGCGUGGGGAGCAAACAGG